AUUGAACGCUGGCGGAGUGCUUUACACAUGCAAGUCGAGCGGCAGCACGGACUUCGGUCUGGUGGCGAGUGGCGAACGGGUGAGUAAUGUAUCGGAACGUGCCCAGUCGUGGGGGAUAACGUAGUGAAAAUUACGCUAAUACCGCAUACGAUCUAUGGAUGAAAGCGGGGGAUCGCAAGACCUCGCGCGAUUGGAGCGGCCGAUAUCAGAUUAGGUAGUUGGUGGGGUAAAGGCCCACCAAGCCAACGAUCUGUAGCUGGUCUGAGAGGACGACCAGCCACACUGGAACUGAGACACGGUCCAGACUCCUACGGGAGGCAGCAGUGGGGAAUUUUGGACAAUGGGCGAAAGCCUGAUCCAGCCAUUCCGCGUGCAGGAUGGAGGCCCUCGGGUUGUAAACUGCUUUUGUACAGAACGAAAAGGUUUCUACUAAUACUAGGAGCUCAUGACGGUACUGUAAGAAUAAGCACCGGCUAACUACGUGCCAGCCGCCGCGGUAA
rnacentral:rRNA from 1 species